AAUAUUGGAUAAUGGGGGCAACCCUGAUCCAGCCAUGCCUCGUGUGUGAAGAAGGUCUUCGGAUUGUAAAGCACUUUAAGUUGGGAGGAAGGGCUUUAGGUUAAUACCCUGCAGUUUUUACGUUACCUACAGAAUAAGCACAGGCUAACUCUGGCCCAUCAGCCUCGGUAAUAAAGAGGGUUCAAGCGUUAAUCGAAAUUACUGGACGUAAAGCGAGCGUAGGUGGUUCAGUAAGAAGGGUGUGAAAUCCCCGGGCUUAACCUGGGAACUGCUUUCAUAACUGCUGAGCUAGAGUACGGUAGAGGGUAGUGGAAUUUCCUGUGUAGCGGUGAAAUGCGUAGAUAUAGGAAGGAACACCAGUGGCGAAGGCGACUACCUGGACUGAUACUGACACUGAGGUGCGAAAGCGUGGGGAGCAAACA
rnacentral:rRNA from 1 species